rnacentral:lncRNA from 10 species
AGGGUAUUUUCAGGAGAAACUGGCAUUUGAAUUGGAGUGCUGAGAAAAGUAGAUGCCUCCUCUAAUGCGGGUGGGCUUCAUCCAUUUCUUUGAGGGCCUGAAUAGAACAAAAAGGCAGAGGAAGAGAGAAUUCUCUCUCUCUCUCUCUCUUCCCCCCCUCCCCCCGAUGGUUAAUUUUGAGUGUCAACUUGAUUGGAUUGAAGGAUGCAAAGUAUUGAUCCUGGGUAUGUCUGUGAGGGUGUUGCCAAAGGAAAUUAACAUUAAGUCAGUGAACUGGGAAAGGCAGACCCACCCUCAAUGUGGUUAGGCACCAUCUAAUCAGCUGCCAGCACCGCCAGAAUAAAACAAAAGGCAGAAGAACCUGGAAAGACUAGACUGGCUGAGUUUUCUGGCCUCCAUCUUUCUCCCAUGCUGGAUGCUUCCUUCCCUCAAAUAUUGAACUCCAAGUUCUUCAGUUUUGGGAUUCUUGGGCCUUCAACCACAGACUGAAGGCUGCACUGUUGGCUUCCCUACUUUUGAGAUUCAGGGACCAGACUGGCUUCCUUGUUCCUCAGCCAAGCAGAUAGCCUACUGUGGGACCUCACCUUGUGAUCAUGCCUUGGGACUUGGACUAGAAUUUACACCACUCGUUUUCCUGGGUCUGAAACUUGCAGACAGCAGAUUGUGAGACUGUUCUGCCUGCACAAUCAUGGACAGAUCCCAGGUCUAAACCCUAGCCAAAACCCCUUGUGUUAGAGGAGCUCACCCUUUACUGCUGAUGAAAUCUCCAUGAUGAAGUGCUUUCCUGGUGACACCCAGAGAUCGUUUGCUAUGUGAAUGCUUUUCUUGCUCAAAUUUCAACAAACAUGAUUGCCAAAAAAGAAAAAAAAAAGAAGAGAAAAGAGAACAGAAAAGAAGAAAAGAAAAGAAAGAAAGGAGAAGAGAGAGAAAGAGAGAAGAGAAGAGAAGAGAAAAGAAGAAAAGAAAAGAAAAGACCAGACCAGACCCAUAGAAUCCUAUGGGAUCUGCUGACAUGUUUGUCUGAACUUCGUCUUCCAUAUCACUGUCAAGAUAGUUUUUCUAACUCACCACUCCAAAAUCUAUGAAAAGCCUCCAUAAGCCCCUAGUUGCCCUCCAAAUUAUAACUGCAUUUGGUUCACACUUUUCCCUCCUCCUGAAGUGACUUUCCUUCUUAUUCCGCUUUUAAAAACUUUAUCACCUGCAAAAUUCACUUCAAAAAGAGCUCCCUCCAUGAAGGUUUAAUUACUCUCUUGGCCCUAAAGGAAUGACAUCUCCUGUUUGGCCUGUUCACAUUGCUGCACUGCACUGGUAACUCUUCAACGAAACCCAUUUUUACUCUUACCUCUUAUUGUUACUUAUGUACAGGUCUUAUUGCCUCUCUCAACCUCAACUAAACUAUUUAAGAGAAGUGUACUCAUCUGUUUAUUUCCUGCUGAGUCUAGUCCAAUCUCUUAUAAUUUUUAGACCAUUAAAAAGCUAUUUGCUGAAGUGAAUUGAGUUGAAAUUGGUAUAGACAAGCCAGUAUGUCUGGUCAUCUUAAUCUAUAUGUUAUUGAACAAUGUGCCAGCUGGAAUCUCCUUUUAUGUAGUGUCCUUCUCAGUAUUCUUUUUCCUUUCCCAUGGCAUUUUGAGUCCUACUGCUAAAGUAGAAAAUUUAAGAAAGCAUGUUUUCCAUAGUGAAAGAAACAUAGGUAAAAUUCUGAUAAAAAUAAAGCAUUAGAACUGAACAUUCAAUUAGUAAAUGCUAAUAAAUCCAUGGACUAAAACAAAAGUUAUCAUAAAAGUAGCUAGCAAUGCACAAGGACAUGUUUAGAUAAUAUUAUACAAUUUAUGCUUAUUUUCUUUCUCCAGUGCUCAUUCUUUCCAAAUGUUUGUUAUCUAUGCUGGAUCUUGAUGAGAGGAAG